GCCGUGUGAACUGCAGGACACAUGAACAUCGACACUUUGAAUGCAUAUUGCGGAAUUGAGCUUGUCUCAAUUCCAUAUCUGGCUCAGGGUCGGUUAAACACCAUCAGACUAAUUGCUGUCUGCAUUGGGCCUUCGCUCUGCUUUUGCAAAGCGCGGCUCCAAGAUAUGUCGUUCGGAUUUCAUUGACUCGACUCUUGGGAGCAAUCCUGGGUCGCUGUCUGUGGCCGUUUGUGCAUGGCGCAGGGACUUGAUUUCUUGUCCUGUAAGUGCCAAACAAUUAAAUUUUCGACCUGAGAUUAGAUAAGGUUACCCGCCGAAUUUAAGCAUAUUAAUAAGCGGAGGAAAAGAAAACAACUGUGAUUCCCUUAGUAAUGGCGAAUGAAACGGGAAUAGCCCAUCGCGGAACUGCAGGUCAUCUUGGCCUCGUGGAAUGUCGCGUUCGGGAGAGUCUUAUCGAGGAUUGGACGGCCAGUCAAAGUCCAACUUGACUGUGGCCA
rnacentral:rRNA from 1 species